rnacentral:rRNA from 1 species
UACGGGAGGCGACAGUGGGGAAUAUUGGACAAUGGGCGAAAGCCUGAUCCAGCAAUGCCGCGUGUGUGAAGAAGGCCUGCGGGUUGUAAAGCACUUUCAGUGGGGAAGAAAAGCUCGGGGCUAAUACCUCCGGGCCUUGACGUUACCCACAGAAGAAGCACCGGCUAACUCCGUGCCAGCAGCCGCGGUAAA